UACGUAGGGGCCGAGCGUUGUCCGGAGUUAUUGGGCGUAAAGCGCGCGCAGGCGGCCUCGCGCGCCCGACGUGAAAGCCCCCGGCUUAACCGGGGAGGGUCGUUGGGGACGGCGGGGCUUGAGGGCGGGAGAGGUCGGUGGAAUUCCUGGUGUAGCGGUGAAAUGCGCAGAUAUCAGGAGGAACACCGGUGGCGAAGGCGGGUCUCUGGGCCGUAACUGACGCUGAGGAGCGAAAGCGUGGGGAGCGAACAGG
rnacentral:rRNA from 1 species